rnacentral:rRNA from 1 species
GACGAACCGAGCGAACGUUGUUCGGAAUAACUGGGCUUAAAGGGCGCGUAGGCGGGCCGCCAAGUUCGAGGUGAAAUCCUCCGGCUCAACCGGAGAACUGCCUCGAAUACUGGAGGCCUCGAGGCGGGUAGGGGCAUGCGGAACUGUGGGUGGAGCGGUGAAAUGCGCAGAUAUCGGGAAGAACACCCGCGGCGAAGGCGGCUCUCUGGGACGGUACUGACGCUGAGACGCGAAAGCGUGGGGAGCGAACAGG